rnacentral:lncRNA from 1 species
AUGCCAGUGGCAAUGAUGAAGGAAAGUGCCUUCAGUUUCAAAAAGUUGUUGGAUCAGUGCGAGAACCAAGAGUUCCAGGGUCUUGGAGGAACUGCUGCACCCCCAGUGAAUGGUCAGCUUCUAGCUUUUUAUUUGCUCCAUAACGACAUGAAUAAUCCAAGAUAUCUUUGGGAAAGAAUACCACCUGCUAUAAAAUCUGCAAAUUCUGAACUUGGGAGAAUUUGCUCAGUAGGAAAAAAAUUCUGACAUAGAGAUUUCUUUGGGAUGUAUACAACCCUCCGUGCUUACCAGUAGCCUAAGAUGUUCCAGUCAAUUAUGGAAGCACUUAGAGAUACAACAAGGAGAUGAGCCUUUGCCCUGCCCUCUCAAGUGUAUAUCUCAAUAAUCGUUGAUGAUUUUGAAGCCUUUUUUGGAUGUCCUGUAGAAGAGGCUGUGAAAGGUAUAUUAAAACAAGAAUGGCAAGCUGACCCAACCAUAAGAACGGUUAUGCCCAGAAAGCCAAUUGCAAGGGCCCUGGAUGUUUCUUUUAACAAGUUUAUUCCCUUGCCAGAGCCAAUUCCAGUUCACCCAUCCCCAGUGAAUAGCAGUUAUCCAGACUGACGGGUUAUGUGGCUUUCCUUGAUAACUGA